GAUGAUAACGUUUUGGCAAGCAGCUGAAAAUAUCACGAGAGUUAGAGGACCCACUGUUACUCUUUGCCAUGACGGAAUAACUGGAUGUGGUCUCUAUCUAGCAUUGAGUUUCUUGUUGGAACGAAUGGUUGUCGAAAAAGAAUGCGAUGUUUAUUUAGCGGUGCAAUCUAUCAAACGUUCAAGAAUAGAUUUUGUUUCUUCUCUGGAACAUCUGGAAUAUUUAUAUGAUGCUGUGGAGGCUGUGUUUUAGGAGUUUUUCAUAGGCUAUGCAAAUUUUUUGUAAAGCAAGAAUAAUCAAGCUAUAUUCUCGCAUAUACAUACAGCAAUGCUUCGACAUAGCAUCAUGCACAAAUCAUGUGAAUAUUCAUAAUGAAAUCUCUUGCACUACGAAGAGGGUGAAACAAAGAUUGUCGAAGACUUUCUUCAAUAACUACAAAGAUGUAAUCGUACUACCGCGACAUUGAAGAUCAUAGUGAAGAAUCUUCCUGAGAAAAAAGUCCACCGUAAAAGAAAAUAACAAUGUUUUAGCUAUAUUUGAAUUAUUUUUUAAAGUUUAGCAUUCUUUUUUCAUUAUAUAAUCAUAAUCAUUUAUUGAUAUCAUCUAUACUGAUUGUAUAAUUUACUGAAAUUAAGGAAAAGCAAUUACAUUUCUUAAUAUAAUGUUUCACAUAAGAAUUGUUUGUGAAAUUCUUAAACUUGGAGCAAAAAUUUAAUAAAUAAUUUAUAGUUUUUACUAAUCUUAAAAAAUAAUUUUAAGUCCAUAAAAAAGUUAUAAACGAACGAGACAAAUAUUGUAUUUCACAAAAGCAUAUAUGUAUAAAGUGUAUGUAAAUUUUA
rnacentral:lncRNA from 13 species